CAUAUAUUCCCUCCGUCUCAAAAUUCUUGUCUUAAAUUUGUCUGGAUAUAAAUGUAUAUAGUCACAUUUUAAUGUUUAGAUACAUCUAUUUUUAGUAGUCAAACCUAAGACAAGAAUUUUGGGACGAAGGGAGUAUUAG
rfam:Hordeum vulgare subsp. vulgare, WGS project CAJW01000000 data, contig: morex_contig_99925